rnacentral:rRNA from 1 species
GACAGAGGGUGCAAACGUUGCUCGGAAUCACUGGGCGUAAAGGGCGCGUAGGCGGGGAGGUAAGUCGGGUGUGAAAUCCCUCGGCCCAACUGAGGAACUGCGCCCGAGACUGCUUCUCUUGAGUCCCGGAGAGGAAGAUGGAAUUCCCGGUGUAGCGGUGAAAUGUGUAGAGAUCGGGAGGAACACCGGUGGCGAAGGCGGUCUUCUGGACGGUGACUGACGCUGAGGCGCGAAAGCGUGGGGAGCAAACGGG